rnacentral:lncRNA from 1 species
GAAAUAUCAUUAAUGAUUGAUAAAACUAAACCAUCAAAUCAUGAGAUGUUUUUAACAAAAACUCAGAUUAAUCAAAUUAACAAUGGUAAAAGAAUUAGAAUUAGUAGAACACAAUUGAAAAGAAUGGUGGUUUUUACUAUUUUUAAAUCUUUUAUUAAUUGCAGCAGGAAAAGCUGUGGCUAAUGGUGCUUUGGCAGGUGCUGUUGGAUAUGGAAUUAAAAAAGCUUUAGAUAAAAUAUCUGGAUCAGAUUGCUGUAAAAAAAAAAAAAAUGAGAAGGUCUAAUUCCAUUUCCUCAGGUCCUUUUCCUUUGAUUUUGUCACAUUUAAAAUGAGGGAAAGAAGUAAUUCAGAAUUGGGAAUAUCCAAUGAGACAAUAGAUGAAAACAUGAAAAACGAAAGAAGAUUUAAAGGCAUAUUUACGGUUGAUCUUUUACCUAAACAAAUUAAGACCUUUGAGAAUGGAAUUAUAAAUUUAGGUAUUUCAGCUGGGAGUGGAACUCAUUGGAAUAGCAUCCCAUUGCCAGGUGAUGAACCAGCCACACGGAAGCAUUAGCAGUGAUCGCAAUGAAUGAAGAAGUGACGUCACGGUAUUACUUUAUACUAUCUAUUGUUCAUGAUAAUGGAGCUGCAUUGAAGAUAUCAAAGAGCAGUGUGUGAUGCCUCAAUUUGGCCACUAUGGAUUACAUAUACUGUUUUUAAAAUUUUAUUUAUAGGAUUUGUUUAAAGACCUUGCAUUUUAUAAUUAUUGAAAAUGUGUUCAAGAAAAAAAUUGGUGGCAGAUUUCAUCAAAG